rnacentral:rRNA from 1 species
AGCAUAUCAAUAAGCGGAGGAAAAGAAACCAACAGGGAUUGCCUCAGUAACGGCGAGUGAAGCGGCAAGAGCUCAAAUUUGAAAGCUGGCUCCUUCGGGGUCCGCAUUGUAAUUUGCAGAGGAUGCUUCGGGAGCGGCCCCCAUCUAAGUGCCCUGGAACGGGCCGUCAUAGAGGGUGAAAAUCCCGUCUGGGAUGGGGUGUCCGCGCCCGUGUGAAGCUCCUUCGACGAGUCGAGUUGUUUGGGAAUGCAGCUCUAAAUGGGUGGUAAAUUUCAUCUAAAGCUAAAUAUUGGCCGGAGACCGAUAGCGCACAAGUAGAGUGAUCGAAAGAUGAAAAGCACUUUGAAAAGAGAGUUAAACAGCACGUGAAAUUGUUGAAAGGGAAGCGCUUGCGACCAGACUCGCCCACGGGGUUCAGCCGGCAUUCGUGCCGGUGUACUUCCCCGCGGGCGGGCCAGCGUCGGUUUGGGCGGCCGGUCAAAGGCCCUCGGAAUGUAACGCCCCCCGGGGCGUCUUAUAGCCGAGGGUGCCAUGCGGCCAGCCCAGACCGAGGAACGCGCUUCGGCUCGGACGCUGGCAUAAUGGUCGUAAGCGACCCGUCUUGAAACACGGACCAAGGAGUCUAACAUCUACGCGAGUGUUCGGGUGUCAAACCCGUGCGCGCAGUGAAAGCGAACGGAGGUGGGAACCCCUCGGGGUGCACCAUCGACCGAUCCUGAUGUCUUCGGAUGGAUUUGAGUAUGAGCGUAGCUGUUGGGACCCGAAAGAUGGUGAACUAUGCCUGAAUAGGGUGAAGCCAGAGGAAACUCUGGUGGAGGCUCGCAGCGGUUCUGACGUGCAAAUCGAUCGUCAAAUUUGGGUAUAGGGGCGAAAGACUAAUCG